UCUAUUGUGAACAUUUUGAUUUAUGAUAUAACAUUUACCUGUUAUUUCGAACAGAGGAGACCAUGAUUAUAUCUGUACUGGAACCCAAUGUAAAUGUGUAAAUGUGUGUGUGACUCAUAUGUCUCUGACUGUUUCUCUAGAUUCCUUCAUUUAGAAAUGUUCUCCUGCUUAACAGCUUGUUGGGUAAGGAACAAUCAUAUGCUGGUCAUAUGCAUGUAAAAAGCUUCAUCAGGAUGUUCGGGUGGUGUUCUGUCUCUUUAAGCAGUAGAGGGGGUGUCCAGGCAGCCAUUACAGGAAACGGACCUGGUGAUAGACACCAUAGCGAUGGGGAGGAUGAAGGUGGUGGCUGCUGAGAGUUAUCUGUGACUGGGGAUGAAUAUGGAUGAGAGGCCUAGGUUCUCCAGAGAUGGCUGUAGUGAGAUAGAUGCUCUUCCCUGAGUGCUCUGGAGGCAGGUGGAAGGAUGUCCAAAGACCCCCACAAGCUCUGCUGACAGGAGCCGGCCAUCACUCAAAUUAAUAUUUUCACUUCUGCAACGCCAAACAGGGGAGAGAGAUGUGGGGGUCGUGUCUGACUCAUAGAAAGCCUAACGAGACACUGUAUGCUUUAUUUAUGAGAAGUGUGUGUGUGGUUUGGCUUUAUUGUUAUUUGGAUCAUUGUGAUCUCUCUGCUUAAAGCAUUGCUUCUCUAUUCUACACAUCACUCUCUCUCCAUUCCCUUGUUCUUCUCCUCUCUCCCAUCCCACUGCUGUCAGUGAAAGAUGGAAGCUGUAAGAGCCGUGGAAAUGUUGCAAUGGCAAUGCCUGCCACUCAGAUAUGAUACAACAACAAAUACGAUCAAGAUCCGUAAAGAGUCCUCCCAGCAGUAUCGGCCUCACCUACUACCCAAUUCAAGAGCACUAUGAAGGCAGUAUGGAAUGGAAGCAUACACGACCGACCGACCGACCACCCACCUGCCUGCGUGACUGAUCGACUGCAGGAGGCCACACCAAUUAACGCAUGGAGCAGCACAACUAUUUGCAUACAUAUUAAAGUGAUGCCUCAGAAAAAUACAAAGAGGGAGAGGGAGAAAGUGGGAGAGGGAGAUGGAGCGAAAGAGAGGUUACGCAAACAAGGCUUAAAUCAAAUAUGCAGGAGCUAGCUAGCAUCGCUCAAGGAAUAAAUCUGCAUGCUUCCACAGGAGAGCGAGAGAGCUCCACUUGAACAGUGAAGUGACUGACUGUCAGAAAUGCACAUGGUCAAGAGGACACCCUACAGGGCACCAUGGUAUUGGUCAGAGUGUAAUGUCAAAAUACAUAGAAUGAAGCCCCGUAGAACAGUGAACCAUUGUGAUGGCUAUGCUGAUUGGCUGGACUAAGCCAAGGUGACUGUAUAUGUGAGAAAUAAAACAGCUUGUCCAGGCAGUGUGGAAAAAAUAUAAAUGUACCUCAUUUAGCAAUGGAAUCACCUCAGUUCGUGUUGUUUCUGGCAGUGUUCAGGCUAGGAAGCUCAAUGUUCUUAAAACACAAUGUACUGGUCUAAGAAUUGGGAGUACUGCCAUGCUGGGUUUUCCCUGCUGUGUGUGUGGGAGUAGUAUUCUACUUGUUGGACACCCUUGAACCCUUUUUCCUGUUUUCCAGUCUGAGCAUGGGGCAGGGAACCAGAGCAUUCUGUACAGGUGAUCCUACGCACAGGAAAUGGAAAACUGUGGAGGAAACUAGUAACAGGAUAUCUUGGGAAUAACAUAAAGGGUAUAGUGAGAAAGAUCUGAAACACAAGGUUGAUUUAUGUAGCCUCAGAAAAAUCCAUUGCAUGUGGUUAGGAAUGGAGUGUUUUCUUUCUUGUUCUCUCUGUGGGCCGUGCACAUACAGAACACACAGAAAUAUUCUGUCUAAAGCUUAAGCUCUGUGGAAAAAAAGCUAAAUUUCCAGACUUUUUACUGACUUCUCCCCCUUUUCAUAGCACGUGUUAAAUUUAACAUGUGUUUUCAUGUGUGAAUGAAUUUAAUUACAUACAUCUGUUUUCCACAUGUAACAUCAAAAACAUUCUAUAGUACAACGAUCUGAAUUGGAUCAUACUGUAUAUCCACGUUAUGUGGUAAUUAAAGCUAAAUCCAACCUGUUCA